rnacentral:rRNA from 1 species
UUACCCUACGGGACGCAGCAGUAGGGAAUUUUCGUCAAUGGGCGCAAGCCUGAACGAGCAAUGCCGCGUGAACGAGGAAGGUCUUCGGAUCGUAAAGUUCUGUUGAAGGGGAAAAAGAGCGGAGAGAGGAAAUGGUCUCCGAUUGAUAUUACCCUUCGAGGAAGUCACGGCUAACUACGUGCCAGCAGCCGCGGUAAUACGUAGGUGGCGAGCGUUAUCCGGAAUGAUUGGGCGUAAAGGGUGCGUAGGCGGCAUAGCAAGUCUGAAGUGAAAGCCCGUGGCUCAACCGCGGAACUGCUUUGGAA